rnacentral:lncRNA from 1 species
GUGCCCCUGCUCACAGCUGUGAGCACAGGCUUUGCACAGGCUGUCUGGAAACCGGCACAGCUACGUUCAUCAGAAGAAACAGUUGCAGCCGGACGCGGUGGCUCAUGCCUGUAAUCCCAACCCUUUGGGAGGCUGAGAUGAAGCGAAGGAUGAAUAUUAUCCCAGGCUAAAGUAAUGAAAAGUCCAGAAGCCAGCGAUGACAGAGAUGUGUGUGGAAGAAGGCUGUGAGCAUUUCCAUCAAACCCUGUGGAUUUCCGAAGAUCUUAUCCCGAAGAUAUGUGUUUGGCCAAUAAAACAGGAGUGCCUUCCCCUCUACCUGCCGGUCCCAUAGAAAAGGACGUCCUCCCCUGCAGACCCUGGCCUCCGUCACAGCACGCCCACUCUGUGCCCGCUGCAACCUCCUCUGACUCUCCCACUAGACCAGUGCCUGGCACACAUGCUCCUGAAUGCAUGAACGUCAGUCAGCUCUGGGUCCUCGAGAUGACAAAACCCCCUGCUCCUGCGUCCUCAUGGGGAUCUGCACCAGCACUGGGCUGAACCUCCCCCUGCAAUCCCUCAGUCACGUCUCUUGUAGCAUUUUCUUUCUGGCAACAACAUUUGGGGUCAUUAAAAGUGUUUUUGAAACGCAACCUUUUAAUUACAGGAAGAAUACUGCC